GUCGCUCACCUUGGUCUAUGUGCAUAUUAAACAAAGGACACAAAUGGAUUCAUGACAAAAUUGUAUUUUGGUGAUGGUGAUGUGUUUGAAGUUCUUACUUUACUGAACGAUUUUGCUUCUUACAAUAUUAUCUAUAAUGAACUUUGCCCAUUAGUAACAGAGAACUAUAUUUGGUAAAAAUUUACAUAAAUUUACCAAAUUAAUGAAAAUUGUUAAAAAUUGACUAUAAAGGGCAAUAACUCCUAAAGGGGUCAAUUGACCAUAAAGGUCAUGUUGACUUAUUUGUAGAUCUUACUUUGCUGAACAUUAUUGCUGUUUACAGUUUAUCGCUAUCUAUAAUAGUAUUCAAGAUAACCAAAAACGGCAAAAUUUCUUUAAAAAUUACCAUUUGGAGGGCAGCAACCCAACAACCAGUUGUCCAAUUCAUCUGAAAAAUUCAGGGCAGAUAGAUAUUGACUUGAUUAACAAAUUAACUUCUUGUCAGAUUUGCUCUAAAUGCUUUGGUUUCAUAGUUAUAAGCCAAAAACUGCAUUUUACCCCUAUGUUUUAUUUUUAGCUGUGGCGGCCAUCUUAGUUGGUUGACCAAGUCAUGCCACACAUUUUUUAAACUAGAUACCCCAAAGAUGAUUGUGGCAAAGUUUGGAUUAGUUUGGCCCAGUAGUUUCAGAGGAGAAGAUUUUUGUAAAAGAUUACUUUAAUUUACGAAAAAUGGUUAAAAAUUUACUAUAAAGGGCAAUAACUCCUAAACGGGUCAACUGACCAUUUUCGUCAUGUUGACCUUUUUGUAGAUCUUACUUUGAUGAACAUUAUUGCUGUUUACAGUUUAUCUCUAUCUAUAAUAAUAUUCAAGAUAAUAACCAAAAACAGCAAAAUUUCCUCAAAAUUACCAAUUCAGGGGCAGCAACCCAACAAAGGGUUGACUGAUUCAACUGAAAAUUUCAGGGCAGAUAGAUAUUGACUUGAUUAACAAUUUAACUUAUUGUCAGAUUUGCUCUAAAUGCUUUGGUUUCAUAGUUAUAAGCCAAAAACUGCAUUUUACCCCUAUGUUCUAUUUUUAGCCGUGGCGGCCAUCUUAGUUGGUUGACCAGGUCACGCCACACAUUUUUUAAACUAGAUACCCCAAAGAUGAUUGUGGCCAAGUUUGGAUUAAUUUGGCCCAGUAGUUUCAGAGGAGAAGAUUUUUGUAAAAGAUUACUUUAAUUUACAAAAAAUGGUUAAAAAUUGACUAUAAAGGGCAAUAACUCCUACUCGGGUCAACUGACCAUUUUGGUCAUGUUGACUUAUUUGUAGAUCUUACUGUGCUGAACAUUAUUGCUUUUACAGUUUAUCUCUAUCUAUAAUAAUAUUCAAGAUAAUAACCAAAAACAGCAAAAUUUCCUCAAAAUUACCAAUUCAGGGGCAGCAACCCAACAACCGAUUGACCGAUUCAUCUGAAAAUUUCAGGGCAGAUAGAUCUUGACCUAAUAAACAUUUUUAUCCCAGUCAGAUUUCCUCAAAAUGCUUUGGUUUUUGAGUUAUAAGCCAAAAACUGCAUUUUACCCCUAUGUUCUAUUUUUAGCCGUGGCGGCCAUCUUGGUUGGUUGACCAGGUCACGCCACACAUUUUUUAAACUAGAUACCCCAAAGAUGAUUGUGGCCAAGUUUGGAUUAAUUUGGCCCAGUAGUUUCAGAGGAGAAGAUUUUUGUAAAAGAUUACUUUAAUUUACGAAAAAUGGUUAAAAAUUGACUAUAAAGGGCAAUAACUCCUAAACGGGUCAACUGACCAUUUUGGUCAUGUUGACUUAUUUGUAGAUCUUACUUUGCUGAACAUUAUUGUUGUUUACAGUUUAUCUCUAUCUAUAAUAAUAUUCAAGAUAAUAACCAAAAACAGCAAAAUUUCCUCAAAAUUACCAAUUCAGGGGCAGUAACCCAACAACCGAUUGACCGAUUCAUCUGAAAAUUUCAGGGCAGACAGAUCUUGACCUGAUAAACAUUUUUACCCCAUGUCAGAUUUGCUCUAAAUGCUUUGGUUUUUGAGUUAUAAGCCAAAAACUGCAUUUUACCCCUAUGUUCUAUUUUUAGCCGUGGCGGCCAUCUUGUUUGGUUGACCAAGUCACGCCACACAUUUUUUAAACUAGAUACCCCAAUGAUGAUUGUGGCCAAGUUUGGUUUGAUUUGGCCCAGUAGUUUCAGAGGAGAAGAUUUUUGUAAAAGUUAACGACGACGGACGACGACGACGGACGCCGGACGCAAAGUGAUGGGAAUAGCUCACUUGGCCCUUCGGGCCAGGUGAGCUAAAAA
rnacentral:lncRNA from 1 species